UGGAUCAAACUGUUUCUUUAUUUUACAAUUAAGGUAUGGAGUAAACUAUUUCUAUAUUUUACAAUUAAGAUAUGGAGCAAACAGUUUCUAUAUUUUACAAUUAAGGUAUGGAGUAAACUGUUUCUAUAUUUGACAAUUUAGGUAUGGAGCAAACUGUUUCUAUAUUUUACAAUUAAGGUAUGGAGUAAACUGUUUCUAUAUUUGACAAUUUAGGUAUGGAGUAAACUGUUUCUAUAUUUGACAAUACCGGUAUGGAGUAAACUGUUUUUUUAUUUUACAAUUAAGGUAUGGAGUAAACUGUUUCUAUAUUUUACAAUUUAGGUAUGGAGUAAACUGUCUUUUUUAUUUUACAAUUCAGGUAUGGAGUAAACUGUUUCUUUAUUUUACAAUUAAGGUAUGGAGUAAACUGUUUCUUUAUUUUACAAUUAAGGUAUGGAGUAAACUGUUUCUUUAUUUUACAAUAUAGGUAUGGAGUAAACUGUUUCUAUAUUUUACAAUUUAGGUAUGGUGUUAACUAUUUCCAUAUUUUACAAUAUAGGUAUGGAGUAAACUGUUUUUUAUUUUACAAUGAAGGUAUGGAGUAAACUGUUUUUUAUUUGACAAUUUAGGUAUGGAGUAAACUGUUUCUAUAUUUGACAAUACAGGUAUGGAGUAAACUGUUUUUUUAUUUUACAAUUAAGGUAUGGAGUAAACUGUUUCUAUAUUUUACAAUUUAGGUAUGGAGUAAACUGUUUUUUAUUUUACAAUUAAGGUAUGGAGUAAACUGUUUUUUAUUUUACAAUUAAGGUAUGGAGUAAACUGUUUUUUAUUUUACAAUUUAGGUAUGGAGUAAACUGUUUUUUUAUUUUACAAUUAAGGUAUGGAGUAAACUGUUUUUUAUUUUACAAUUUAGGUAUGGAGUAAACUGUUUUUUAUUUUACAAUUAAGGUAUGGAGUAAACUGUUUUUUAUUUUACAAUUUAGGUAUGGAGUAAACUAUUUCUAUAUUUUACAAUUUAGGUAUGGAGUAAACUGUUUUUUAUUUUACAAUUAAGGUAUGGAGUAAACUGU